GGCCUAAAGUUUAAAAAAAUUAAAAAAAAAAAAAAAAAACUCAAUAAGUUCAUAACCUCUUUACAAACUUUAACUAAAUUACCUAAUAUUAACAAGGAAUUGAAGAAACACACAAUUCUUAAUGUAGUCAAGAACUAAUAGUGGCUCAUCCGCGUAGCACCACAUUGUCUUACUAAGCAAGUAUAUCCUAAACUUCUGAAAAACGCACAACACUAUAUGACAUUAUAAGAAAUUAAAUUACAAACUUCUCACACAAAGGAAAAUGUCCCUACCAACUGUGCUAGCAGUCAUGAAUGUAUAUUUAACAUCAUAAACAUAUAACUAAAUAUGAGAAAGUUACAUUGGUAAGAAUAAUAUUUGGUCGCGCCUUAAAAACAAAUUUUAGUCUGCUUACAAUGCAAGCACUUGUCGAGAGUUUAGAGCUUUACCCUUCAUCUUAACAUAGAGUUAGCUUUACUUGAUUAUUUCUAAGAACAUAACGAGAAUAUUAUCCCUCAUUUGGCUUGUUAAAUAAUAAACAUAUCCAAAUUGGAAGAUUCGUGCUAUACGCUAUACAAAAAUUUGAUAACAUUCUUAAAAGAACAUUAAAGUGGCUGACAAUAAGGACAUUACAUCAAUUUCAUCGAAAAGAACCAUAAGCUUCCUUAGAAGUAACAAAAACUAUAGUUACCAUCACAAAGGAAUUAUCACAAAUUUUCUAACUGCUAGGACAGUUGGUAGGAACACUUUCCUCCAUAUGAGAAGCUUGUGGUUUCAUUCCUAUCAAUGUCAUAAUACAAUAUGCAUUGUUAUAACAAUACAGACCCAAAUGACCUACAAAAUCAAUUCUAGUUACGUAUGAACAAAUAACACAUGACAAUAACUAACAUCAGGAGAUGUUAAAGACCUACAAAAGUCCAUUAGUUAAGAGUACCGACAUGUUUUCAAGUCUCACUACGAGCCUAACUUUAAUAAACAAAAGACCAACGUUACAGGAACUAGACAAUGGCUAGCAUAUGUUGGGGACUUCGACAAAAACUCUAAAACACUUUUGCCUUUAGCCAAAGUGAUGCAGGAUUAGAGGUGAGAUUGGGUUCUAAACCCUAAACCCUAAACCCUAAACUCUAAAACACUUUUGCCUUUAGCCAAAGUGAUGCAGGAUUAGAGGUGAGAUUGGGUUCUAUGGACAGCAAAAUAAUGAUACAAACUUUGCGAGGGAGUACAUUAGAACAAGAGUGAAGACAGCUUGUGUUCUAGGUGUCUGCAAAUGUGCAACCACUUAAAGUGGAGACACAUAUGCAAGCUGUAGGUUUCAAGCUAUAAUAUAUCCCUGCAAGCUGCAGGUUUCGAGCUAUAAUAUAUCCCUGCAUGUCAACUAUCAUUAUAAUGCAACACAUUCAAAUUAAUCCUAUGAUAUUGACAAUUUAUCGUUUGACUACCAAAUUUAAACAUCAAUCACUAUGCAACACAUUCUCUCAUAAAAUAUUGAAAUAAAAAAAUUCUAUUCAAAGUAAUAGAUAGAAAUUUUUUUGGAACAACGAUGAUAUUGACAAAGCAAUAAUUAUUACUAAUAAAGUAAGUACAUUAAAUCUAAACAUAUGUAUAUUGUAAAGCUAACAAGAUUCAUUAUACCUGCUCUAUCAACAAUAAUUUUUGCUCUAUCAAUGUCACUAACUUUAGGAAUUUAUUAGUGACUUAAAUAUAAAAUAUUCAAGAAACAAAUUUACAGAGAGGAAGCCAUGAAGGCAUUUCCUAUUUCAAUAUCUCCUCACUCACACAAGAAUGUGUUUUGUAUUAUAAUUAUGGAGUGAUGCUAUACCCACAACCGUUUUACAUGCAUGUCAAAUGACGACCUGAUAAAUUGUUAUGAUUCACAUCAUAGUAGGACUAACACCACCAUUUCAGGCAAUCAUAAUCCUAGGAGAUUUGACAUGCAUAUCAAAGGUUGUGGGUAUAUCAUUUCUCAUAAUUAAUAUAUCAUGCAUUAAAACCCAAUGUAAUUGAUAGGUGCAAACUAAGAAGCCAAAUAUGGCCUAAAUACAAAUUUGAACUUAUAGAAGCCAAAUUUGGCCUAAAUACAAAUUUGAACUUAUACCUUCUUACUUCCAAUAAGGGGCCGUUUGGUUGGAUGUAGUUGUAGAAACAGUGUAGUUAGAAAUACAUGCAGUUGCAAAUGCUGCAGUUAUAACUACACCUAGUCUGUUUGGUUUUACGCAGUUGCAACUGCUGCAGUUACAUUUUUUCUGUUUGGUAAUAUGAAGCUGAUAGUUGUAUUUAUGAAUUUUGUCACCUCUUCAGAUAGAGUGGUGAGGUUACCUUCACUAAACAUAAAAUAAUUGUAUAAAUUUAUUAAUUAUUUAAAUUUACUAUUUAUAAAUAAAUAAGUAGAUAUAUAUAAUAUUUUUAUAUUUUUCAAUAAUUCUUCAACUUAUUAAUCGACACAUUUAAAAUUUUUAAUUUAUUUAAUUUUAAUAUGUAAAUCAAACUUUAAAAAUUUAAACGAUUCUCUCAUUUUUUUUUAUCAAAUUUAAUAAUUAUAAUUAAUUAAAACUUAUUAAAUUAACAUACACGAUCACAUUCUAUAAA
rnacentral:lncRNA from 1 species